GCAGAAAUAGCUCAUCUGGGAUAGUGUUAGACUGAAGAUCUAAAGGUCCCUAGUUUGAUCCCGGGUUUCAAUA
rnacentral:tRNA from 1 species